CUCUCCAAAGAGUGCUAAUAUUGAUCUGCCUGCAAAUCAUCUGCAACCUUCCUCCAGCUAUUUGACCUGCAGCAUCACUCAGCAUCACUCCUCUGCCUCAGCUUCUACAUGUAAUUCAGGGUGAAAAAAAGCAAUUUAAAAGCUGGAAGGGGCAGUUCUUAUCUACACAGUGAAUAUGGUUUCACUGCUAAGUCCACCAGAAGACAAAACUGCUUCAUCUUCAUUUGAAAUUCAGUGAUCGUUCCAGAGUCUUAGGGCCCUGACUGCAAACGCUCUGUCCCUUUUAGUUUUCAGCCGGGCCUCUGGAAC